rnacentral:lncRNA from 10 species
UAGAAAAGCUUUCCCAUGAGGGUCUGCCUCUUGGAAAAGCUUCUGCCUGGAAACCCAGGUUUUUCUGUACAUGCUCUGGAGUCUAGACGAAGGCUCCCAAGGCUCUCCUCUUUUGCUCUGUGCACCUGCUGGCUUAACACUAUGUAGAAGCCACCAAGGCUUGCAUCUUGUACCCCUGAAGCAGUGACCCAAGCUGUGCCUGUGCAUCUUUCAGCCAUGGCUGGAGCUGGAGCUGCAGGGAUGCAGGCAGCAGUGUGCUGUGGCUGAGCACAGCAGUGGAGCCUUGCAGCUGGCCCAGGAGAACAUUCUUCUCUCUCAGGCCUUAGGGCCUGUGACAGCAAGGGCUGCUGCAAAGGUCUCUGAAAUGCCUUCAAGGCCUUUUUCCCAUUGUCUUGGCUAUUAGCACUGGACUCCAUUUUAUACAAAUUUCUAAAGCUCUCUUAGAUUUUCCCACUGAAAAUCAGGUUUUCUUUUUGACCACUUGGCCAGGCUGCAAAUUUUCCAAACUUUUAAGUUCUGCUUCUCGUUUAAAUAUAAGUUUCUACUUGAGGUCAUUUAUUUGGUCACACCGAAGACCACAGGCUUUUGGACACAGACAGGAUACCUCUUGAGCUUUGCUGCCAAAAGUUCAUGCCUAUGAUUUAGAUACACCCUAAAUCAUCACCCUCAAGUUCAAAGUUUCAUAGGUCUCCAGGUUAGGGGCAUCAUGCAGCGACGUUCUUUGCUAAGGCAAAACCAAAGUAACCUUGGCUCCUCUUUUCAGUAAAUUCCUCAUUUUCAUCUGAGACCUUGUAAGCCUGGCCUUCACUGUCCAUCCUUCUGUCACCCUUUUAAUUAUAACUAUUUAACAAGUCUCUACAAUGGUCAAAACUUCCCUUCAUCUUCCUGACUUCUUCCAAGGCCUCCAAACUUUCCAACCUCUGGCUGUUACCCUCUUGUGAUCCUGCUUUUACAUUUUCAUCCAUCCUUAUUGCAGCCUAUCAAUGCAGUAAAAAGAAGAAAUGCCCAUUUUCAGGGGAAAAAUUCACAAAGGGAUCCGAUAUCUGCAUGAAGAGAAGCUGAGUGCUGAUUGCCAAGGCAAUAAGAAAAAGGCCUUGAAGGCAUUUCAUAGCUCCACUUCACAGCACUAAUUUUGUGUACAAUCAUAAAGAAAGAGGUGUAAUUGGCUCACGGUUCUGCAGGCUGUAAAGGAAGCAUAGUGGCUUCUGCUUCCGGGAGGACUCAGGAAGCCUCCCAAUCAUACCAGAAGGCCAAGGGGCAAGGAAAUGCUUCAUGUGGCAGCAGUAGAAGCAAGACUGAGAGAGGAAAGAGGAGCCCGCCCUGUUAUACAACCAGAUCU